AGGUUAGCUAGACUGCUUAAACAGUCAUCUUCUAUAAUAGUGAAGUCAGUUUCAAUUUAUAGGCUACAGUUCCGCUUUGAAUGAAGUUAGGAACUUGUGCGCAACUAAUCUCUAUAAUCUGGAAAAUGUAACUGAAAGACAUCAGACGAACAUGUCAACAGCCAGUCAGGUGAUCUACUGCAAAGCAGCUGUUGCAUGGGAGCCUGGACAGCCCCUGUCCAUUGAGAAUGUGGAGGUGGCUCCACCUAAGGCCCAUGAAGUGAGAAUCAAGGUUGUUGCCACAGGUGUUUGUCACACGGACUGGCAAUAUCUGUAUGAGUGUGAAAAAGGGAUGAAGUUCAGACCCUUCCCACUGGUUCUUGGCCAUGAAGCUGCAGGAAUAGUGGAAAGUGUUGGGCCGGGAGUGACCAAGUUCUCACCAGGUGAUCAGGUUAUUCCUCUUUUUCUGCCACAGUGUCAGGAAUGUGAUCGAUGUAGGAGUCCAAAAACAAAUCACUGCAGAAAGAACUGGGAAAACACACAAAGCGGUGUUAUGGCUGAUGGCACAAGCAGAAUAUGUUGCCAGGAUCAGCAGGUGUACCAGUUCCUAGGUGUCAGUUCUUUCUCCCAGUACACCGUGGUUCCUGAUACCUCACUUACAAAGAUAAGAAGUGAUGCACCGCUGGACAAAGUGUGUCUGUUUGGCUGUGGAGUCUCCACUGGUUAUGGUGCUGCUCUUAAGACAGGCAAGGUUGAAAAAGGCUCCACAUGUGCCGUGUUUGGGCUUGGGGCUGUUGGACUGGCUGCGGUCAUGGGAUGCAAGGCUGCUGGUGCAAGAAGGAUCAUCGGGAUUGAUGUCAACCCUGGCAAGUUUGAGAAAGCCGCGAAGCUUGGAGCAACCGAAUGCAUCAACCCCAAUGAUCACCAUAAACCCAUCCAGGAGGUGGUGCUGGAGAUGACAAACGGAGGGGUGGACUUCGCUCUGGAGUGUGUUGGAAGUCCUUUGGUCAUGACUGCAGCACUUGAGUCAACAACAGAGGCAUGGGGCAUGUGUGUCAUUGCUGGUUGGACGGAGACUGAGUCGAUGAGUGUCGCAGUUGAAAAGAUCCUGAUGGGGCGCACACUGAAGGGGACUUAUUUUGGAGGUUGGAAGAGUGUGCAGGAUAUUCCUAAACUGGUAGAAGAGUACAUGGAACAGAAGUUGAAGCUGGAUGAGUUUAUCACACAUGCACUUCCCCUGGAACAAAUCAAUAAGGCCUUUGACCUCUUGGGUAGUGGGAACAGCCCUGUUCAGUGCAAAGGUGCCAAGUGAGUGUGAUUGCUAGGUGAAUCCAGCUCACUCUGAGGCCAGAUCCUAUAUAUUCUACUAAUGUGGAUGCACAUAUGUGCUACAACAAGCAUCCGUACAGUUAUCAGCCUGUGGUAAAAAGAGGCCUACCUUGAAGUUGCUUCCUAAUCAGAUCAUGUUUCUACAUUGCAUGUCUUUGCAAUGAUAUUUUUGUAUAACUGAAGAUAUUUGUUGGUGCUCUUCUAAAUAAAACCAUACUGAAGUGAA